rnacentral:rRNA from 1 species
CUACCAUGGCAAUAACGGGUAACGGAGAAUUAGGGUUCGAUUCCGGAGAGGGAGCCUGAGAAACGGCUACCACAUCUAAGGAUGGCAGCAGAGGCGUAAAUUACCCAAUCCUGACUCAGGGAGGUAGUGACAAGAAAUAACGAACCGUGACUAUGUUACGGGAUUGCAAUGAACUGAUUUUUUUUCCCUUGGUGAGGAACAAUUGGAGGGCAAGUCUGGUGCCAGCAGCCGCGGUAAUUCCAGCUCCAAUAGCAUAUAUUAAUGUUGUUGCAGUUAAAAAGCUCGUAGUUGGAUUUCUGCAGGAGUGCCAAUGUCCGACCACGUUCGUGUGCAGCGGCGCCCCUGCAUCCUUCGGUUACCUCCGCUCGGCAUUCACUUGCCGGCGGUUGGCUCCGAAUAUUUACCUUGAGAAAAUUAGAGUGUUUCAGGCAGGCUUGUCCGGAAUACAUUAGCAUGGAAUAAUAGAAUAGGACUACGGUCUCGUUGUUGGUUUGAGGGACUGGAGUAAUGAUUAAUAGGGAUAGUUGGGGGCAUUAGUAUUUAAUUGUCAGAGGUGAAAUUCUCAGAUUAACUAAAGACUAACUUAUGCGAAAGCAUUUGCCAAGGAUGUUUUCAUUAAUCAA